UAAACCGAGAGAGCUGUUCACUGAAACUAUCUCCUGAAAGUCUUUUACUUUGUGUGCUCACCAUCCUGGUUGCCUGGGACACAUCUGGGGGACUGCAGGAGCCCAAGAACCCAGGAACCCACAGCUGGCGCUUUAACAGGGACCCUGUGAGAUGGACAGGGCUUUACCAUGACCACACUUUUCUGCAAAAAAAAUUCCUCCAGUUUGGCUUUUUCCAGUAUUCAGACAUUGUCUUGGGCCACACUGUUAACCCAUCCUAAUGUGGGGAAAACCCAAACUACUCAUGGGAUCUGAGUACGCUGGGUGUCCAGCACACAGGACUCUGAAGCCCCAGGACUGCUGGUUCUUCGUCAGAAGAAAUGAGAUCCUCGGAUUAUUGGGCCACAUCAAAUAAAAUUCAGAGAAAGAGUUUUCAAAGUAUAAAACUAAGUACCUACUGUUAUAAUAAAUUGUUAUAUUAACUCCUCA